rnacentral:rRNA from 1 species
UGGGGGAUAUUGCACAAUGGGCGAAAGCCUGAUGCAGCGACGCCGCGUGGGGGUUGAAGGCCUUCGGGUUGUAAACUUCUUUUGCUCUGAACAAGGCAUGCUAAUGGGUGUGUUGAGUGUAGGGGUUGAUUAGCGCCGGCUAACUACGUGCCAGCAGCCGCGGUAAUACGUAGGGCGCGAGCGUUGUCCGGAAUUAUUGGGCGUAAAGGGCUUGUAGGUGGCUGGUUGCGUCUGUCGUGAAAGCUCAUGGCUUAACUGUGGGUUUGCGGUGGGUACGGGCUGGCUUGAGUGCAGUAGGGGAGGCUGGAAUUCCUGGUGUAGCGGUGGAAUGCGCAGAUAUCAGGAGGAAUACCGGUGGCGAAGGCGGGUCUCUGGGCUGUUACUGACACUGAGGAGCGAAAGCAUGGGGAGCGAACAGG